UACAUGGGGUGCAAACGUUGCUCGGAAUUAUUGGGCGUAAAGCGCGCGUAGGCGGUUACUCAAGUCGGAUGUGAAAGCCCUCGGCUUAACUGAGGAAGUGCACCCGAAACUGAGUAGCUAGAGUACUAAAGAGGGUCGCGGAAUUCCCGGUGUAGAGGUGAAAUUCGUAGAUAUCGGGAGGAACACCGGUGGCGAAGGCGGUUACCUGGAGCUUUGCUGACGCUGAUGCGCGAAAGCGUGGGGAGCGAUCCGG
rnacentral:rRNA from 1 species